rnacentral:rRNA from 1 species
UACGUAGGGUGCAAGCGUUGUCCGGAAUUAUUGGGCGUAAAGAGCUCGUAGGCGGUCUGUCGCGUCGGAUGUGAAAAUCAGGGCUCAACCCUGGACCUGCAUUCGAUACGGGCAGACUAGAGUUCGGCAGGGGAGACUGGAAUUCCUGGUGUAGCGGUGAAAUGCGCAGAUAUCAGGAGGAACACCGGUGGCGAAGGCGGGGUUUCUGGGCCGAUACUGACGCUGAGGAGCGAAAGCGUGGGGAGCGAACAGGA